GACGAACGCUGGCGGCGUGCUUAACACAUGCAAGUCGAACGGUAAGGCCCUUCGGGGUACACGAGUGGCGAACGGGUGAGUAACACGUGGGUGAUUUGCCCUGCACUUCGGGAUAAGCCUGGGAAACUGGGUCUAAUACCGGAUAGGACCACUGCCUGCAUGGGUGGUGGUGGAAAGCUUUUGCGGUGUGGGAUGGGCCCGCGGCCUAUCAGCUUGUUGGUGGGGUGAUGGCCUACCAAGGCGACGACGGGUAGCCGGCCUGAGAGGGUGACCGGCCACACUGGGACUGAGAUACGGCCCAGACUCCUACGGGAGGCAGCAGUGGGGAAUAUGGCACAAUGGGCGCAAGCCUGAUGCAGCAACGCCGCGUGGGGGAUGACGGCCUUCGGGUUGUAACCCUCUUUUAGUAGGGAAGAAGCGAAAGUGACGGUACCUGCAGAAAAAGCACCGGCUAACUACGUGCCAGCCGCCGCAGUAA
rnacentral:rRNA from 1 species